ACAAUGGUUCCAGGAAGUAAAAAGCUGCUGUCUUUAGACAUAAACACAGCUGAUGAUAAGUCCAUAGCUCCACAGGCUCUCCACACAGCCUCUUCCUCUUCCAUCCCGCUGAGUUGGGACCCAGCAAACUCUAGCUGGGGGAGCACUGGAGAGAAGAGUUAAAAAAGGUGACAAGGAAAAAACGGAUAUCACCCAUAUGGAAAAAAGGCCAGGACUGGAAACACCAUAAGAAAGAAGGGUUAUGCAAGUCACCAGUGUUACUACUGAGGCUUGGUGUCUGCAGGAUGAAUCCACUACUUGCAGUUGCCAUUUUUUCCUCCUUGUUUUUUCCUUUCUAUUUUUGACAAGACAGAAAGAAACCGAGAGGACAAGAGAAGAUAGAGAAGGAGAAACAAAGAGAGACAAUUGCACCACUGUUUCACUCCUGCAGACAGGAAGUGAGGAAGAGAUACAGAAGUAAAGACAAUACAACACAGCUCUACUCCAGCAUUUGUGAAGUUUCUGCUGUGUAGAUGUUCCCCUAUGGUGGCUGAGGACUCACACCUAGGUCCUGGGUUCUGACUCUUGGUACAGUGUGCAACUCUCUCAGGUAAGCUAUAUUCCAUCCACUUGCCACUUUUUAUUGGAAUCAAAGUGGUAGUAAAAAACCUUUUGAAUGAAGUUAGAAUUACUUAGAAUGUUUAUAAAAUAACUGAGGGAGAGAGAAAAGUAAGUGUUCUGGGGGGGGGGGGGGACAAAAAACUGUGACCAUCACAACUUUAGCUCUACACUGAGUCUCUUAUGGACCAUAGAUCAUCAUGUUAUCUUUGAAGUCAAAUGGAGCAACCUAGACAAAGAAAUUGGACUUUGGACUGUGUGGUAUCCUUAUCUGUUAAAAGAGGAGAUCUGGCUGUAAACUUUGUAAAGCAUCCUUUGAGAGCUGUCUGAAUGUGGAUAGGAACAGGGCAGAGAGACAUAAAAAUGGAGACACAAAAAUGGAUAACAGCAGCAGGUUACUCCAAUGUAACAGAGACUACUCUGGAGAUAUUCAGUCUAAGACUAUCAAGGAGACGACCUUUUUCCAAACCCAGCUAAAACAAAGGCUAGAGUAGUGAAUAUUCUUUUUUCAAAUGAUCAGAAUGUACAGGCUGUUAGUAAAGUUAUAAAAAUGUGAAAAAUAGAAGAUUCCAUUUGCCAAACACAUUCAGGGGUGUUCCCAGCUGGACUCAGGUCAAAUGCAUCUUCAUCAUACUUCUGGCACUUUCCUGUGUAGUCUUUAGGAAGAAUAAAACACCUGUCUAUUUGC